rnacentral:rRNA from 1 species
CUAACACAUGCAAGUCGAGCGGUAACAGGAAUUAGCUUGCUAAUUUGCUGACGAGCGGCGGACGGGUGAGUAAUGCCUAGGGAACUGCCCAGUCGAGGGGGAUAACAGUUGGAAACGACUGCUAAUACCGCAUACGCCCUACGGGGGAAAAGAGGGGACCUUCGGGCCUUCUGCGAUUGGAUGUACCUAGGUGGGAUUAGCUAGUUGGUGAGGUAAUGGCUCACCAAGGCGACGAUCCCUAGCUGUUCUGAGAGGAUGAUCAGCCACACUGGGACUGAGACACGGCCCAGACUCCUACGGGAGGCAGCAGUGGGGAAUAUUGCACAAUGGGCGCAAGCCUGAUGCAGCCAUGCCGCGUGUGUGAAGAAGGCCUUCGGGUUGUAAAGCACUUUCAGCGAGGAGGAAAGCUUAAGCGUUAAUAGCGUUUAGGUGUGACGUUACUCGCAGAAGAAGGACCGGCUAACUUCGUGCCAGCAGCCGCGGUAAUACGAGGGGUCCAAGCGUUAAUCGGAAUUACUGGGCGUAAAGCGUACGCAGGCGGUUUGUUAAGCGAGAUGUGAAAGCCCCGGGCUCAACCUGGGAAUUGCAUUUCGAACUGGCAAACUAGAGUCUUGUAGAGGGGGGUAGAAUUUCAGGUGUAGCGGUGAAAUGCGUAGAGAUCUGAAGGAAUACCGGUGGCGAAGGCGGCCCCCUGGACAAAGACUGACGCUCAGGUACGAAAGCGUGGGGAGCAAACAGGAUUAGAUACCCUGGUAGUCCACGCCGUAAACGAUGUCUACUCGGGAAUUUGGUGUCUUGAACACUGGGUUCCCAAGCUAACGCAUUAAGUAGACCGCCUGGGGAGUACGGCCGCAAGGUUAAAACUCAAAUGAAUUGACGGGGGCCCGCACAAGCGGUGGAGCAUGUGGGUUUAAUUCGAUGCAACGCGAAGAACCUUACCUACUUCUUGACAUCCAGAGAAUUCGCUAGAGAUAGCUUAGUGGCUUUCGGAGCUCUGAGACAGGUGCUGCAUGGCUGUCGUCAGCUCGUGUUGUGAAAUGUUG